CCACCACCGUCUGUGACUCAGACCCAUCCUCUGAACAAGAACUAAACAUGCUUGUCUCAAUAUUCUCCACCAACCCCCACCCCUUACCAACAUAUCCUUCCUACUCCCAUUAUCUCUCCUCCACCUAACUUCCUCACAUACCUGCAACCAUGGAGCUCCUUGAAAGUGGUUAAUGCUCGUGAGGAUAUUCAAACCUCAGUUAAAGCAAAACAUGGGAAGGUGGUCAGUAUGAUGGGGAUGAACAGAGUCGAUUGGCAGUAGCAUCGUAGAAAGGAGGGGUCUUUAUGGGUCACAGACGGCGGUGGUGGUGGUUUGGGAAGAAGAAGGGGGUGGGGUGGGAUUUAACAGAGAUAUUUAACUGAAAGGACCAAAUUACCCUCAUGUGCCAAGCAUAUGGGGUGUUUUAAUAGAGAUAUUUAACUGAUGUUAGGGCUGGGGAUCAAGCGAGUUCAUUUUUGACAAGUUUCGGUACCACGCGUGUAAUUAGUAAACCACUAGGACCAAGUCUGCAAUUUUUGCAAACCACAGGGACCAACCAAGCAUUUAACUCUAAUUUUUAUAAAUUUUCAUCCAAAUCACUAACUCAAUUUAUUUUUCUGUUAAGGUGAAGGAUGUUUUAAAUUUUAUAAAUUAAGACAGAAAUUAAUUUAAAUGUUCUUUAUAUAAAUUAGUUUUUUAAGAGAAAACGUCAUUGGUGUGCAACACAUAACAAUUGAUUACUACUUUUAGUAUUUAUCAGUUGUAGAGAUAGAAAAAAAUUGUAAAACAUUACAUAAUUUUUAAAUGUGUUGAGCACCUAGAAAAUAUGUUGGUAGAAAUAAAAUAUUUAUUUAAUUAAGAUUAUGAGGGUAACUAACUAAUACUUAUUCUGAGUGGCUUGAGUAAAGAAACUUUUGGUUCAUAGCAUUAUAAUUACAAUUUGAUGGGUAAUUUUAAAGUUUGGUAACGAUGUGUUGUUUGAUAUAGGGGGGAGGGGCACUGGCUUCUGGUUUUCCUUAUGAGCGAAUUUAAAAGAGUAGAAGAUUAAUUACAAACUUGGUACAUAUGAUAAGAUUUUUUUAUUUGACAUUUUUAAUAAGGUCACUAGCAUUUUAGUUUUAUAAAAUUUAAAAGUCUAAGUAGAUUUUAUUUUUAUAAAACUGAUCUAUAUAAAAAAUUAGAAAUUAAUUUCUGUCUUAGUUUAUAAACAUCCUUCGCCUUACUAAAAAAAUUAACUUAGUUAGUGGUUGGAUGAAAAUUUAUAAAGAUUAUGUGACAAAGCUAUUGUUUUUUUUUUCAUAUAAAAAUUGCAUGUAUAUUCUUUUUUAGUAUAUAUGUAACAAAAUUAAUUAAAUAAAAGAAAUUUAAAAGAGUUUGAGUAAAUUGCCAAAAUCGACCCUGUGGUUUAUAUUUGCCAGUUUCAUCCAAAUAUCCUUAAUUUAACAGAAAAAAUAAACUAAGUUGGUGGUUUGGAUGAAAAUGGCAAAAAGUUGCAAACGUUGGGGGUAAUUUGGUACACAAGUGUCAUUUUGGACGAAAAUGGCAAAUCUGCCCAAAGCUCAGGGACGAUUUUGGCAAUUAACUCCAAAAAAAAUGGAUGUAAAUUAAUGUUUCUUGUGUAUUAUGAUUUUAUAGGUUGAUACAAGUCGAAAAGAGGUCAUCUAUAAGGUUAAAGAGGACGAUCCAAAAGCCGAAAAAUUGAGGCCAUCUUUGAUUGUUAUAACACUUUCCCCCAGUGUUGCCUACCGUUUACUUUUGCAUUAAAAGGACACCAUUUCAUUUUUUAUCACUCUAUCACUUUUAUUUUAUAUUGCUUUGUGGUUGUACAUUGUUCACGUUCGUUUUCCUUUUAUAAAUUAAAAAUUGUGUUUUUGU
rnacentral:lncRNA from 1 species